rnacentral:rRNA from 1 species
GGGCCCGCACAAGCGGUGGAGCAUGUGGUUUAAUUCGAUGAUACGCGAGGAACCUUACCAGGGCUUAAAUGUAGUGGGACAGGUCUAGAGAUAGACCCUUCUUCGGACUCAUUACAAGGUGCUGCAUGGUUGUCGUCAGCUCGUGCCGUGAGGUGUCAGGUUAAGUCCUAUAACGAGCGCAACCCCUAUCGUUAGUUGCCAGCGGGUAAUGCCGGGAACUCUAACAAGACUGCCGGUGCAAACCGUGAGGAAGGUGGGGAUGACGUCAAAUCAUCACGGCCCUUACGUCCUGGGCCACACACGUGCUACAAUGGCCGGUACAGAGAGCAGCCACUACGCGAGUAGGAGCGAAUCUUCAAAACCGGUCUCAGUUCGGAUCGGAGUCUGCAACUCGACUCCGUGAAGCUGGAAUC